UGAGGAAUCUUGCGCAAUGGGGGAAACCCUGACGCAGCAACGCCGCGUGAGUGAGGAAGGCCUUCGGGUCGUAAAGCUCUGUCGGGUGGAAAGAAACGUAUAGGUGCUAAUACCAUUUAUACUUGACGGUACCGCCAAAGGAAGCACCGGCUAACUCCGUGCCAGCAGCCGCGGUAAUACGGGGGGUGCAAGCGUUGUUCGGAAUUAUUGGGCGUAAAGAGCGUGUAGGCGGCUUGAUAAGUCAGAUGUGAAAGCCCUGGGCUCAACUCAGGAAGUGCAUUUGAAACUGUCUAGCUUGAGUAGGGGAGAGGGAAGUGGAAUUCCUGGUGUAGAGGUGAAAUUCGUAGAUAUCAGGAGGAACACCGGUGGCGAAGGCGACUUCCUGGCCCUAUACUGACGCUGAGACGCGAGAGCGUGGGGAGCAAACAGG
rnacentral:rRNA from 1 species